rnacentral:tRNA from 1 species
ACUUUUAAAGGAAAACAGUGAUCCAG